rnacentral:rRNA from 1 species
CGCAUGGAAACGUGUGCUAAUACCGUAUACGCCCUACCGGGAAAAGAUUUAUCGGGGGAUGGAUGAGCCCGCGUUGGAUUAGCUAGUUGGUGGGGGAAAGGCCCUACCCAAGGGCGACGAUCCCAUAGCUGGUCUGAGGAGGGAUGAUUCAGCCCCAUUGGGGACUGAGACCACGGGCCCCAAACUCCUACGGGGAGGGCCAGCCAGUGGGGAAUAUUGGGACCAAUGGGGCGCCAAGCCCUGAAUCCCAGCCCAUGCCGCGUGGAGUGAAAAGGCCCUUAGGGGUUGUAAAAGCCUCUUUUCACCCGGAGAAAGAUUAAUGACGGGUCCGGAGAAGGAAGCCCCCGGCUAACUUUCGUGCCCAGCCAGCCGCGGUUAAUACGAAAGGGCUAGCGUUGUUCGGAAUUACUGGGCGUAAAGCGCACGUAGGCGGACUUUUAAGUCGGGUGAAAUCCCGGGGCUCAACCCCGGAACUGCCUUUGAUACUGGAAGUCUGGAGUAUAAGAGGUAAGUGGAAUUCCGAGUGUAGAGGUGAAAUUCGUAGAUAUUCGGAGGAACACAGUGGCGAAGGCGGCUUACUGGUCCUAUUACUGACGCUGAGGUGCGAAAGCGUGGGGAAAACAGGAUUAGAUACCCUGGUAGUCCACGCCGUAAACGAUGAAUGUUAGCCGUCGGG